rnacentral:piRNA from 1 species
UUUAAGAAGGUGUCUAGGGAUGUA